UACGUAGGUGGCAAGCGUUAUCCGGAUUUAUUGGGCGUAAAGGGAAUGCAGGCGGUCCUUUAAGUCUGAUGUGAAAGCCUUCGGCUUAACCGGAGUAGUGCAUUGGAAACUGGGAGACUUGAGUGCAGAAGAGGAGAGUGGAACUCCAUGUGUAGCGGUGAAAUGCGUAGAUAUAUGGAAGAACACCAGUGGCGAAAGCGGCUCUCUGGUCUGUAACUGUCGCUGAGGUUCGAAAGCGUGGGUAGCAAACAGG
rnacentral:rRNA from 1 species